rnacentral:rRNA from 1 species
UUGAGCUCAACUAUUUCCCUAAGUAGUAAGACUUUAAAGUUAAAACUUAAAGAACAUGGCGGCUUAAAUUAUUCAGGGGAACUUACUACAUAAACGAUGACCCACGAGUCCACAUUCCUGUUUUCACAGCUUAUAUACCGCCGUUUAGUGCUUAAUUAAGUUAAGCACAACAAAAUCCUCUUUUAAGUCAGGUCAUGGUGUAGCAAAUAAAUAGGUGUAAGCGAGUUACAAUAAAAAUUUUUUUUCAGACAUAGUUCUAUGAAUUCUAUUAAAGUUGGACUUGAAAGUAAGAUUAAACAAAAAUAAAAUUUGAAUUUUUAUUUUAAGUGU